rnacentral:rRNA from 1 species
GACGAACGCUGGCGGCGUGCUUAACACAUGCAAGUCGAACGGAAAGGCCCUGCUUUUGUGGGGUGCUCGAGUGGCGAACGGGUGAGUAACACGUGAGUAACCUGCCCUUGACUUUGGGAUAACUUCAGGAAACUGGGGCUAAUACCGGAUAGGAGCUCCUGCUGCAUGGUGGGGGUUGGAAAGUUUCGGCGGUUGGGGAUGGACUCGCGGCUUAUCAGCUUGUUGGUGGGGUAGUGGCUUACCAAGGCUUUGACGGGUAGCCGGCCUGAGAGGGUGACCGGCAACAUAGGGACUGAGAUACGGCCCAGACUCCUACGGGAGGCAGCAGUGGGGAAUAUUGCACAAUGGGCGGAAGCCUGAUGCAGCAACGCCGCGUGCGGGAUGACGGCCUUCGGGUUGUAAACCGCUUUCGCCUGUGACGAAGCGUGAGUGACGGUAAUGGGUAAAGAAGCACCGGCUAACUACGUG